UCCAUAGUGGUCCGGUGGUUAAGACUCUGCACUUCCAAAGCAGGGGCACAGGUUCAAUUCCUGGUCAGGGAA
rnacentral:tRNA from 1 species